rnacentral:tRNA from 1 species
GCUGGGGCUCCAUGGUAGAGCGCUUGCCUAGCAUGUGUGAGGCCCUGGGUUCGAGUCUCAGUACCGCA